GAUACAAGUUUUCCAAAAUCUAAAUUUUUUCUUGAAAGCUCAAAUUCCAUCAUUGGCAACAAAUACUGUCAGCUGUUUUCCUUGAAGUGACAGUCUCACUUUGCUCAUUUUUGAGAAAAUGUCUGUCAAAUACCCAAGUCUGAAUAACCAUAGUUUUUUUAUAUGUCUUUUAAAAUAAAU